UACAGAGCCACAGGCUUCCCUCAAAACAUCUCACAAGUCAGAUGCAGGCAUGAGGACAGAUGGAGAAACAUCACAGAGCCGUCAUUUCUGGAAAUUGACUCAACACGUAAGAGGAGCACUGGAUGAAUGCUUAGAGCAGAUAUCUAAAACCCAGGUCUAAUGCCAAGGAGGCGGUUGUCCCCCUGCUGUCUGGCAGAGGAUCACACUCAGAAACAGAUUGGUUUAUGCUAUGCUCAUCUGCUGUCCCUGUGUCUUCACAGAGGGGAUCUAAGCUGACAGAGCUGGGAUUCAGAGCUAUGCCUUCCAGCUCCCUAACACAGGCUUGAGCAGGUCUAACAUCCUGCUGUUCCUGUAUCCCACUUCAUUAAAACCCACAUAGUGGUUUCCAUGGGCUGAGGCUCACAUGUAGAUGAUGGUUCGUAACAUUUUAUGAAAGGAAGGUCAACCCAGAAAUGGUUAGCACGAGGCAUUGUAGACACUUGUGUCAUUCAAAAAGAACUGUGAAGAGGAAGAACAACUGACUCAUAAGUAGCUCACGGGAAACCAGCA
rnacentral:lncRNA from 1 species